rnacentral:rRNA from 1 species
CUACGGGGGGCUCCAGUGGGGAAUAUUGCACAAUGGGCGAAAGCCUGAUGCAGCAACGCCGCGUGCGGGAAGAAGGCCCUAGGGUUGUAAACCGCUUUCAGCAGGGAAGAAAAUGACGGUACCUGCAGAAGAAGGUGCGGCCAACUACGUGCCAGCAGCCGCGGUGACACGUAGGCACCAAGCGUUGUCCGGAUUUAUUGGGCGUAAAGAGCUCGUAGGCGGUUCAGUAAGUCGGGUGUGAAAACUCUGGGCUCAACCCAGAGACGCCACCCGAUACUGCUGUGACUCGAGUGCGGUAGGGGGGCGGGGAAUUCCUAGUGUAGCGGUGAAAUGCGCAGAUAUUAGGAGGAACACCAGUGGCGAAGGCGCCGCUCUGGGCCGUAACUGACGCUGAGGAGCGAAAGCGUGGGUAGCAAACAGGAUUAGAUACCCCGGUAGUC